rnacentral:rRNA from 1 species
UACGGAGGGGGCGAGCGUUGUUCGGAAUUACUGGGCGUAAAGGGGGUCUAGGCGGAUAUGUAAGUUGGGGGUGAAAUCCCGAGGCUCAACCUCGGAACUGCCUCCAAAACUACAUAUCUUGAGUUCGAUAGAGGUAGGUGGAAUACCAAGUGUAGAGGUGAAAUUCGUAGAUAUUUGGUGGAACACCAGUGGCGAAGGCGGCCUACUGGAUCGAUACUGACGCUGAAGCCCGAAAGCGUGGGGAGCAAAC